CAUCAGAAAUUCUAAUUUUAUCUUCCUUUUUAAUCCUGUGAAUUCAUGCUGCUAAGCAAAGUGAUUGUUGUCAUAUCUUUGGAUUAUAAUUGUGGUACUAUCUGUACUAUAGAUUAUUACUCAUAAUAUGUUUUGUCAUCCAGCUUACCUUUGUUUCUUCCUCUCUUAGAUAAAGCCUCAUAAAUAUGAAGGUAAGAUUUGGGGCUUCAGUUUUCUUUGCCAAAAAUUCUCAGUACCCGUAUUUGAUGUGUGUUUAAUUUGAUGAGGGAUGAAUAUGGUGACUUCUGAUGUCUCACUGACUUAAGUCUUGAAAAUGCUUCUCUUCCCCAUGUGGAGUCUAAGUGACAGUGUGGAGGGAGUUGCCAUCUCUAAGAGACCAGGAGAAGGAACUCUUCGUGGGACUAGGGAGAAUACAAGUUACUUUAGACCAAAUCAAGAUGAAGAUUAAUGACCUUAAAAACGAAAACAGGGAUCUUGAAAAAAACAUAGUGAGUUGGGAGGAGAGGGCCAGGGAAGCAAAGAAGCAAGCAGAAACGAAGAGAGAAUAUAAGCGUUCCCUUGCUGGUGUACGUAAAUUAAAAGCCCAAGAUGCACUGGCGGAUCAAGAGCUGAGAGCCUUGACAUAAAAAAACCAAGAACUGAAAGAAAGGAAAACAUUCCUGGAAGACCAGUGUAAUGCCCUGAGUUCUCAGAAAACAGCUAAAGAAGCAGAAUUGAACCUGCUAAAGAAGAAAUUGGAUAUGGUGGUGGAGUUCUCUGAAAACCGAAAACUGACUGCAGAAGAGAAGCUAGAAGAGACACUUUAUGAAUUGAAUGCAACUAAGAAUGAGCUGUUAGCUGCCGACAAAUAUCUGAAAGUAACUGAAGAAGAAAUGGAGAAGUACAGACGAGAAGUGGAAGAAAUGCGGGAAUAGCUGCAGGAGUCUAACCUCACCUUCAACCACAAGAUCACAGUUCAAGAGAAGAAUGCUCUGGCUAACUGGAUGAAGGCUCGUUAUUGGGAAACAAGGAUGAUGCAGCAGAGCAGGGAGAACGCCUACUGGAAAUACAGACUGCGCAUGAUGCAAAGGGAGAUGCUGCCUGUGGGAUCCGUGAGGCGGGAACUGAUGCCGGGAAGGCCUGAGUUGCAGAAGCCUGUGUGGCAAGCAUCUAGAGUGGUUCCCAGGAUGAACAGCAGCACUAGCCCUCAAAGGGACCCAGAGAUGCAUAAGGUCAGUAGAGGUGUGAGAGAGUUCCCUCAUUGCCCAGGGCUCCUCCGUAUGCCCUACCACAUGGGGUGGAAUGUACCAGACUUCCCUCCUCCUCAUCCACCUCCACAGUGGUGGACAUGGGGGCCUCGGCCACACCUUGUUCCUCCACCACAUGGUGAGAUGAUCUGAAUUGACAUGGGUCAUAGAGGUUAUUCAUAGUUGAACCACUUCUGCCAGUGGAGAGGAUGGAGAGGUGGUACCACAAGGCUUUGCAAUGCAGCAAUACACCCAAGUGAGGACAUGGUAACAUUGCUCCACUUUGUCUGACGUCCAUCUCAUGGACUGUCUGGUUCACCAUACAGAACUGGGCAUCAGGCUUCUACUAAGGAGCAGAAAAGUGACAUUCCACAGACGACAGACAUAGAAGCAUUGACACGAUGUUUUGGGCUCUGGGCUGGACAAAGCACAACCUUCACAUCAGUCUCACAUGUGGAGACCCCAGUUGUCCAGCAUUAUAGAUUACUUCUGGAAACAUAUGUCCCAGGCCUUCGGUCCCAAUCAGAAGCCUGUGGAGCUCAAGGGGACAAUAGCAGCACUAUGUCUGAGAAGGUCCCAGAGAAGAACCAAGUAAAUUCUGGGGUCUUUUCAGUUUUACCCAUUUCUGGAGUCCUGUUCCUCUCUGGGCAGCACAGUGUCCUGGCCUGUGUGUGUUGGGUAUAUCCUGGGGUCUGUGUGUGGUGUCGCUUCCUGUUCAAAGUGGCAAGUCUUCAUGCAGAGCUUAUAGGCGUCUAUUUCCAGAUUAUCACCUUCUGGUUGUGUCAGUGGAACAAAGGCAGAGUUUGUGUUCAGGACUUGACAUUCAAGGGGAAACCAGGCUAGGGACCCCGUAUGAUUCUGAAGUUCUUCAGGACACACGUGCAUGUUCCUGGCUAUUUGCACACACUGAGCAGUGGGCAGGUGCCAUUGUUGGGAAGGUAGUGUCUCCGUUGCACAAUGGCAGACAUCUGUCUCUUACCGUCGUGCACAUCCAGCAUCCGCAUAUGUUGUUCUGGGAGGGAUGAAACAUCUCUCACUUCAUCUGCAGCGAGUAGGGUUUAAGCUGUCAUUUCCUUAGUUAUAUAAACCGCCUGACACAGGGCUGUGGUCCCUUCAUUGUUCAUUAGCGUAGAGGUCUGCCCUUGUCCUCUGCAGUUUAGAAACUUGUGGGUAAUGCUCUUGUCUAGUCUGGGAGGUGAGAAUGAAAGAAAAAGUGGCAGAUGCCAGAGGCAGGUGUAGAGGGUUUGUUGGAAUGUUGCUCAGUCACUUCCAGGUGGAGAAGCUUCUGUCUUUUCCAUGGUGUGGGUCAGAUACAGAUGCUGGAGCGUCCUCAGAAGGACCAGAGGUGCUGCCCACAGGCCUCUCGUGGCGUGGCAGAGUGAAGGCUGCUAGACAUGUUAACUUUCUUCUGGUUGUUCUGUAUUUGGAAUUAAUGGACCUUGUCUUCCAGUCAUACUGAGAGGGUUGUAGGUUCCUUGUGGCAGAGAGCUGCCCUUCUCCGAACGCUGGGCACAGCAGGUGUCACACACAUAUGGCACGGAGACGAUGCUCUGUGCUCCGGGAGGGAUGAGGCCUUAAUGUGAGGAAUUGAAGAUGUGUGUCUGAGAGAAGGGAGGGACACACUGAUGACAGGACAUAGACCGUGUGUUCCGUAUAAGGGAAGAACUAGAGAUGUAUCCAGAAAGAAGGGAGGGAGCCCUGAGUCACACAGAAACAGGAGGUCGUGGAGGCCCAGAAGGCCCGAGGUGCUCAGGGAGAGGCUGGGCUUCUCUCAGGGAGGGUGAGGCCUUUCCCGGCAGGCCAGCAGCUCGAGAGUGAGUGUGAAGACACCACGCCGUCCACACCGACUACAGCAUGUGUUCACUCACACAGUGUGGAUCACGCCGUUAUUUGUCUCAGAAUGUCGUUUUUGCCAUGAAUCCCUUCACUCAUAGUCUGUGAAGAGCGUUGUUUCCCUGAAUUUCUGAAAAUUCUGAACCAUGUGAAAGAGUAUCGUGGAGAUUUGGGAAAUUUAACUUGGUCUUUGGGGAUUCUUGUCUGGCUGACUUUAAGACCCGCAGUGAGAAAACAUGAAGACAAGAUGGAGAACCAGUGAAGGGUGGCCGCCCUGGCCUCAGCCCGAGUCAGACUGUUAGUGGGAGAGUCAGGGUUGGCCAGGAGCAGCCCUAGCUGGAGCCCUGUCACCAGGCCUCCGCAUCUGUGUCACGACCCUGCCUGUAGCUGUGCAGUUCCCUGGGUCUUCAGUCCCAGUUUCCAGAUUUGCCUGUGUUCCAGAUUUCUCAGCCCAAAUACCAGCUCUCAGUGGGGCCUUCUCAGGUUCUCCGCUUUUAAUUUAAUCUGUCAUAGAGAGAACAUAUUGGAUUAUGAGGUCACUAGAACAAUAGGAGUUGAAGUACAUAAAGAACCUGCAGGGGCUCCUGGGCGACUCAGUGGGUUAAGCAGCAGAAUCUUGAUUGCUGCUCCGGUCAUGAUCUCGAGCUUUUGAGAUUGAGCCCCAAGUCGGGCUCAGUGCUGAGUGUGGAGCCUAUCUGGGAUUCUCUCUCUCCCUCACCUUCUCCCCUAUCCCUCUUCACUCACAAGUUUGUGCUUUCUCUGUCUCUGUCUCAAAAAGAAAAAAAUAAUAAUAAUUGGCAAAGAAUCUGGGCUCUGACCAUUCACCAUUCUCACUGUUUACAUGAAAAUAGCUCCAUGCCAAUGAGCAUCAAAAAAUGUUUAUUUAAGUCCACAAAAUACACUAAGUGUAAUCCCUCAGCCCCGGUAUUGGCAAUUCUCAUUUCAAAGACAAGGAAAAGAGCCCCCUUUUUUCUAUUAAAUGUCAGGUCCUAGCCACAAUGAAGUGAAAUAUAGUUAAGAGAACAGGUACAAUCAGAUAUUUCUAUGUGAGAUGUGAAGACAAUUAUUGUCUAUUACAUACAGAUCCACAGAUGUGGCCACACACCCAAGUGUUUAUCCAAGGCCUCAGAUACAGAGAGCAUUUAGGAAAACAUACGAUCCCAUUGUACUAACCCAAAUCCUCUUGCCUUACAGGGUAAUCAUUUUGUAAUCUAAAGACUUCCUUGACCUCCAACAACCAGGCUCCAAUGAGUUUUUAUAUCUAGUCAAGAUAUGAAAGUUUCUGCCUGGUGGUCUGAAUGCUUUCCCUGCCCAUCCUGUACCCUGUGCUUUGUCUCUCCUGGUAUCUCCCCAAUAAACUGUUCAUGGUUC